AAUCAAAUACUGCAACAACAAUAAAAUCAGAAACUACAACUGGAAACACAACAAAAGAGCUGGAAAUCAUGGAUGAUUCAACAAAAUUACAAGGCUCAUGCUGGUACAGGCUCAUCAUAGUGCCUCUGGGUUUAGCAGCACUUAUAGCAGCUGUUGUGGUCAUCAACAUCUGGACAAGAGCUGGUGAGAAUGUUCACACAUAAGCAAGAAGGGUUGAUAAACCAGACAUGAAGCUCUGAAGAAGCACUUCAUUGAAUCAAGAAGCACACCAGCAGUAGAGCUGGUUAAUCAUGGACAGAUCAAAGAAAAGGCCAAAUCAGACAGACUGAGUGUUACAGCAGAAUGCUCACUGGUUAUAAAGAAGGUCACAGCUGAGGAUGUUGGUCGUUACACCUGCAGACAGUUUAGAGGCAAUCCAGGGAAACAGCAAGGUCCAGAUGCUGUGGUUUAUCUGUCUGAUGUCAUCAUGACUGAACAGAAGAACACUGAUCAAGUGACUUUAAACUGCUCUGUGUGGACAUAUGAACGGUGUAAACACAAACUGAAGUGGAUCCAUGACAGUGGAGGUCUGAAUAGAGAUUACUCAAAUUUAAAAACAUUACAGUCGUCCUGCUCUGCUGCUGUUACUUUUAUAAAGUCAUCA